AUUGAACGCUGGCGGCAGGCCUAACACAUGCAAGUCGAGCGGCCGGCGGACGGGUGAGGAAUGGAAGGGGGCCUGGCCGAGAGGGGGGGCUAACGAAUAGAAACGGUGACAAAUACCGCAUACUGACGGAUCAACCCAGAUGGGAUUAGCUAGUAGGUAAGGUAAUGGCUUACCUAGGCGACGAUCCCUGGCUGGUCUGAGAGGAUGAUCAGCCACACUGGAACUGAGACACGGCCCAGACUCCUACGGGAGGCAGCAGUGGGGAAUAUUGCACAAUGGGCGAAAGCCUGAUCCAGCCAUGCCGCGUGUAUGAAGAAGGCCCUCGGGUUGUAAAGUACUUUAAGUCGGGAGGCGUUACCGACAGAAGAAGCACCGGCUAACUCCGUGCCAGCAGCCGCGGUAAUAC
rnacentral:rRNA from 1 species